rnacentral:rRNA from 1 species
CACGUAGGGGACGAGCGUUGUCCGGAUUUAUUGGGCGUAAAGAGCUCGUAGGCGGUUCCGUAAGUCGUGAAGUCAAAUCUCUGGGCUCAACCCAGAAUCGCUUCCGAUACUGCGGUGACUGGAGUCCGGUAGGGGAGUGUGGAAUUCCUGGUGUAGCGGUGAAAUGCGCAGAUAUCAGGAGGAACACCAACAGCGAAGGCAGCACUCUGGGCCGGUACUGACGCUGAGGAGCGAAAGCAUGGGGAGCGAACAGG